GAUGAACGCUGGCGGCGUGCCUAACACAUGCAAGUUGAGCGAUUUACUUCGGUAAAGAGCGGCGGACGGGUGAGUAACGCGUGGGUAGCCUGCCUCAUACACAUGGAUAACAUACCGAAAGGUAUGCUAAUACAAGAUGAUAUAAGAGAUUCGCAUGGAUUUCUUAUCAAAGCUCCGGCGGUAUGAGAUGGACCCGCGUCUGAUUAGCUAGUUGGUAAGGUAACGGCUUACCAAGGCGACGAUCAGUAGCCGACCUGAGAGGGUGAUCGGCCACAUUGGAACUGAGACACGGUCCAAACUCCUACGGGAGGCAGCAGUGGGGGAAUAUUGCACAAUGGGCAAAGCCUGAUGCAGCAACGCCGCGUGAGCGAUGAAGGCCUUCGGGUCGUAAAGCUCUGUCCUCAAGGAAGAUAAUGACGGUACUUGAGGAGGAAGCCCCGGCUAACUACGUGCCAGCAG
rnacentral:rRNA from 1 species